GACGAACGUUGGCGGCGUGCUUAACACAUGCAAGUCGAACGGAAAGGCCCUGCUUUUGUGGGGUGCUUGAGUGGCGAACGGGUGAGUAACACGUGAGUAACCUGCCCUUGACUUUGGGAUAACUUCAGGAAACUGGGGCUAAUACCGGAUAGGAGCUCCUGCUGCAUGGUGGGGGUUGGAAAGUUUCGGCGGUUGGGGAUGGACUCGCGGCUUAUCAGCUUGUUGGUGGGGUAGUGGCUUACCAAGGCUUUGACGGGUAGCCGGCCUGAGAGGGUGACCGGCCACAUUGGGACUGAGAUACGGCCCAGACUCCUACGGGAGGCAGCAGUGGGGAAUAUUGCACAAUGGGCGGAAGCCUGAUGCAGCAACGCCGCGUGCGGGAUGACGGCCUUCGGGUUGUAAACCGCUUUCGCCUGUGACGAAGCGUGAGUGACGGUAAUGGGUAAAGAAGCACCGGCUAACUACGUG
rnacentral:rRNA from 1 species